CAGCCGCCGCGGGAAUACGUAGGGUGCGAGCGUUAAUCGGAAUUACUGGGCGUAAAGCGGGCGCAGGCGGUUUUGUAAGACAGGCGUGAAAUCCCCGGGCUCAACCUGGGAAUGGCGCUUGUGACUGCAAAGCUAGAGUGCGGCAGAGGGGGAUGGAAUUCCGCGUGUAGCAGUGAAAUGCGUAGAUAUGCGGAGGAACACCGAUGGCGAAGGCAAUCCCCUGGGCCUGCACUGACGCUCAUGCGCGAAAGCGUGGGGAGCAAACAGGAUUAGAUACCCCUGUAGUCCCUGUCUCUUAUAC
rnacentral:rRNA from 1 species